rnacentral:other from 1 species
AUUGCCCUGCGGGGUUCGUGAUGCGUCUUUUUUUAACCCACAUUUCGUUAUACGGGAUGCCGCCCUCAGCCUGUGGUUUGCAGGCCUCCCGACUGCCACUUUUGCGGUUGGAAGUUGGAAGCAGUAAAGCUGGCUGGAGGCAACCCACCUGCUCACUAUGUGCAGGUUAUAACGAGGCGCGCACGGCCCAGGCGGGGCUUGU